rnacentral:rRNA from 1 species
UACGUAGGGGGCUAGCGUUGUCCGGAAUCAUUGGGCGUAAAGAGCGUGUAGGCGGUCCGGUAAGUCCGUUGUGAAAGUCAGGGGCUCAACCCUUGAAUGCCGGCGGAUACUGUCGGGCUAGAGUCCGGAAGAGGCAAGUGGAAUUCCCGGUGUAGCGGUGAAAUGCGCAGAUAUCGGGAGGAACACCUAUGGCGAAGGCAGCUUGCUGGGACGUUACUGACGCUGAGACGCGAAAGCGUGGGGAGCAAACAGG